UCAAAGCUCCUCUUCUUAGAGACUUAGACCUUUGCUAGUGCACUAAGGAAACUCAAGUUUUCCAUGGUCAUAUCAUCAAAGAUGGUCUCAUGAUGUAUCCUCUAGCAUUUACCAAAAAAAAUCAAAACAAACGGGUACAGUAGCUGCUGAGUCAAGUUAAACUUUAGAGGGUCACAUUCCUGAUCUACCUGCAAUGACUAUUAGAACUCAAGCAAUUGAUGUAAAACCAUAAGCUAUUGGUAUUGCUUUUUCAUCAAUCAAUCUUCAAUGGAACAACUUCAAUGUUACUCUCAGAAUCUCGAUUUUCUAGAAGGUCAGCAUCUGCUUUUUCAGAGCGAUAGCCACGGGUGGAGGACAUGCGGUUUAAUGAUCGCGGCUGGUGGUUGGAGCUCCGUGCUUUAUGGAAGUUCUUAUUUUCAAGGAAGUUCUUAUUUUCAAUUAGCAAUAGCCGCAGAUGGAGGACGGGCGGUUUGGUGAUCGCGACUGGCUGUUGGAGCUCCGUGUUUUUGUGGAAGUUCUUAUUUUCAAUUAUAUGUUUUGGAUGGCAGUAGCUACAUAGUUCUUGUCUAUUUUGAAGUAUUGUAAAUGUUAUUGGGCCUUUGAAGCCUUGGACAUAUUUGUAAUACCUUUGGAUCUCUUUUUCUAUAUA